rnacentral:tRNA from 1 species
UUAAAAAUAAGCUAAGUUAAGCUUUUGGGUUCAUACCCCAACUAUAAAGAUCAUCUUUUUUUUAAA